rnacentral:tRNA from 1 species
AGUCUCUUAGCUCAGUUGGUUAGAGCGCCACACUGAUAAUGUGGAGGUCGGCAGUUCAACUCUGCCAGGGACUACGA